AUUUACUUGUUGCGUUUGGAGAGAGUGAUACUUUGCGAGUAAAGGAGGGAUUAAUCCAACGGACCAUGAUGAAAAAACCGAUGAAUAUUAACACAGUUUGGCCCGGAGAUCAGCGUCCUUCUGAGAUCCCUGAUGUGUCUGCCCCAGCAUGAAAAGCAAGCAGGCAAGAAAAGCAAAAGCUCUUUGCGGUGCUGGAAUGGAGGAGGCAGUGAGACAGGAUCUCAACGUACCUCCCUGUGGGAGAGGAGGUGAAGUAACUUCAACCUCUGGAACUGAUUCUGCAGCUCUAACUACAAUGGCAAGAACAAAUUUACAAGCAGUAAAAAGCAGAACAUCUCAACAAGAGCCUCUCAGCACUUUCUUUGGCAUCAAAAAGGACAGAAUUUAACAGGAUCCAAAGAGAGGUCACCUGGUCCAUAUCGAAAAUAUUACCACCGAACAUAAAAUAUUAUCUGAGCAGGAAACUUUCAGCCUCAUGUCUGCUAUCUUGAAUGACUCCUUAAAGCAGGAUCUUUUUCUGACUGGAAGUUCCACUGAGGAUGUUGCCCAAAACCUGCUGCUUGUGGCUUUGGACAAGAUGCAGGAUUUUAUGCAGCUCUGCACAUUGUCUGACUGGUUAAGUGGCACUCGGGUUUCUCCCAUCAACAGUCACAAAAAAUGGAAGAGAUGCUGCCCUUUGUCACAACUGCAGCAGUGGGAGUUUUUGUUGAAAAUAUGAGGAGUGUCUGCAGUGAGGGAACAUGAUGUUAUUUUAAUGAAUAUGGCUCAGACAGACCUCUGUGGCACUUCCUACAGGCUGUGUCUAAUAACAUCACCUCUUCCCUGUAUGACCCAAUGAAACUGCUAAGGAUUGUGCCAAGUUAUUUGUCAUAUGAGGGCUCAUCUGAUGAAAGUUUGAUCCAUCUGUGCUCCAAAUAUGGAGAGUGAUGCUGUGGAGACAUCAAGUCAAGUAUCUCUCCAAUUCUCCCAGAGCAGCUCGUCUGCAAAAUCAGGUGGCAGUGCAGGAGUAUAUGAAACCAAGACCUCACUGUGAAAGGGUCUUUGAGGCAAUCAUUUUUGACUGUACAAAUGAGGAUCACAUCUAGGGCUACAGACACUAAUGAGAUAAAUACACAGGAUGACCUGUGAGCCUUUCCAGAUUGAGGCUUCCAAGAGGGUUAGCGAUAUCAUUGAGUGAGACCUCAGAGAUCACCAAACUAUCAGAUACCAUCAAAGCUCAAGACUCAAGCUUUAAAAAUUCAUAUAUGAGCACGUCAAGUGUCUGAAGCUAAGCUGAAAAGCCGUGCAUUUGCUUCAGUACUAUCAAUUGUAAGUGAACUUGCUUACGUAUUCAGACACACUUUUGAAGAGGAUUUAGACAUGACGUUAGCUCAUCCUUUCACUGACCCAGAACUGUACAGAUCCCAAGUUCAGCUGGUGUCAGAAAACAUCCUGAGGUCCACCCAGGAUAAACUCGGGGAAGGUUUCUUGACAAACCUCCUCGUGAGGGCUGAUGCAGACAUGUCAGCCCAAAACAGUGCCAACCUGAGCUACAAACUCCUAUCAAGCGCAAAAGAACGCUAUUGAAUGCAUUGUGUCACUACCAUGCUCUGAAGUGCACAGUUCUAGAGGGAUAAUAACAAAAUAAAUCCUACAAUCCUUGAAUGAAAAUCUGGACAUUCUUUAUCUAGGACAGCUUUUAACACCAUUUGCGAUUCAUUUAGAAGCCCUGGGUGACCUUAUUAUUGCAGAUGUUUUUGAAAGGAUUACUAAAAAAGUGACGGAACAGUGCAGCCCUUGAGGAGUCUGAGUCUUCCUUGAUACUGUCCAAAGAGUCCAUCAAGCAUUCCUUCCAGGAGCUGAUCCCUUUAAUGGGGAAGCUAAUGCUGAAAGGGAUCAAUGCUCUGGAUAGUGUGAAGCUACAAACAAGCUGUAGGGUGGCUCAGCCGGUGAUCUCAGCUGACAUCGCCGACAUCUCUUAUCAGUCAAUGCAGGAAUACACAAGCUCUAAUUUGAAUAGUUCUGCACAGACAGUUGGUAUGCGGCUUGGUGAGAACAUCUAAUUGGCGGUUCAGGUUGCCCAAGUUUCUGAAGCUCAGAUUCAAGGUAUCUAUUUUAUUCUUUAAAAAUCUGUCUAUUUAUUCCCAGUGACAUCAGUAACUUUAGAGUCUGGUCUUUUGAAAAAAAAAAAAAUCAUUUGUACAUUUUAUAUAGUACUAUCAGCAUAUUUUGAAUGAUUUUAAUCAAAUUGUCUCCUCUUUGUAAAGAAACGGAAAAGCAAAGUGGGUGUUUCCACAGAGGACCGGGCGCAGGAUAAACAUUCCAUAUGGUUUAUAAUGUGUGUCUCCUACUCCUGUUGAUGAACCAUCUACCUCUUCCAGGACCAUCCCUAAGACCAACAGAAAGUCUUUGUUUACCAGACUCGCAAUGGCUUUCUCCACUCUCUGUGGAAAAUGAGGAAAAACACUUACUUAGUUGAAGUUUCUUGAAGUUGAAAAUUUGUUGUACAAUUAAAGUAAAAACCAAAAAUAAA